rnacentral:rRNA from 1 species
UUCUUGAUUCAGAUUUUGGUGAGUGGCGGACGGGUGAGUAACACGUGGGUAACCUGCCCAAAAGUGGGGGAUAACAUUUGGAAACAAGUGCUAAUACCGCAUAACAACUGCUUUCACAUGAUCGCAGCUUGAAAGAUGGCUCUGCUAUCGCUUUUGGAUGGACCCGCGGCGUAUUAGCUAGUUGGUGAGGUAAUAGCUCACCAAGGCAAUGAUACGUAGCCGACCUGAGAGGGUAAUCGGCCACAUUGGGACUGAGACACGGCCCAAACUCCUACGGGAGGCAGCAGUAGGGAAUCUUCCACAAUGGGCGAAAGCCUGAUGGAGCAAUGCCGCGUGAGUGAAGAAGGUUUUCGGAUCGUAAAACUCUGUUGUUGAAGAAGAAC